UAUAGAUUGUAGUAAAAAUUUGAGAAGAUGUAAUGUGAAUAAUUUUGCGAAGUCAUAUGCGAUCCACGUAGAUUGUUUUUGACCGAACUUCUACCGGAUGCGAUGCUGUCUUCAAUGGAAAGCGUUGUAACGUGCUACGCAAGCUAAUUAAUGCAUUAGAAGGACUAUUCUUUCAACGAACUUUUCGAACCUGAAACCUUUAAUAAAUGAAAGGAUAUUUAAAAAAAAAAAAUAAAAAAAAAAGGAAAUGCAGCUUAAGAUUGUUUCUUCAUCAGCAUAAGGAGUUUCCACUAAUUGAAACCAAUAAUUGAAAAUUUGAAAUUAAUUAAAAACAGCACUGAAGUGAAAUA